UAGGAGUAGCAAGCAAUCGCUAUUUAUAUAGAGGAAAGUCCGAGCUACAAAGACUUAGGAUUCCAUUUAACAAAUGGCUAGUGUAAACUAAGGGAAAGUGCAACAGAAAUAUACCGCUUUUAUAGAAUCUAGAUUCUAUAAAAGUAAGGGUGAAAAGGCAGGGUAAGAGCCUACCGAUUUAUAAGCAAUUAUAAAUGCCAUGUAAACCCAAUCCGUAGCAAGAAUAGCAGGUUAAAUAAGUCUUAAUAUUAAAGCUAUUCGCUAAAGCUUUAUCGUGAGAUAAAGAAAAAGAUAAAUGAUUGCUUAGUACAGAACUCGGCUUAUAGCUACUCCUAGGGC
rnacentral:RNase_P_RNA from 1 species